UACAGAGGUCUCAAGCGUUGUUCGGAUUCAUUGGGCGUAAAGGGUGCGUAGGCGGCGCGGUAAGUCGGGUGUGAAAUCUCGGGGCUUAACUCCGAAACUGCAUUCGAUACUGCCGUGCUUGAGGACUGGAGAGGAGACUGGAAUUUACGGUGUAGCAGUGAAAUGCGUAGAGAUCGUAAGGAAGACCAGUGGCGAAGGCGGCGACCUGGACAAGUACUGACACUCAACUACGAAAGCGUGGGGAGCAAACAGG
rnacentral:rRNA from 1 species